AUACGUAGGUGGCGAGCGUUGUCCGGAAUUACUGGGUGUAAAGGGCGUGUAGGCGGGGAUGCAAGUCAGAUGUGAAAUCCUGAAGCUCAACUUCAGAGCUGCAUCUGAAACUGUGUUUCUUGAGUGCUGGAGAGGAAAGCGGAAUUCCUAGUGUAGCGGUGAAAUGCGUAGAUAUUAGGAGGAACACCAGUGGCGAAGGCGGCUUUCUGGACAGUAACUGACGCUGAGGCGCGAAAGCGUGGGGAGCAAACAGGAUUAGAUACCCUGGUAGUCCACGCUGUAAACGAUGGAUACUAGGUGUAGGAGGUAUCGACCCCUUCUGUGCCGGAGUUAACACAAUAAGUAUCCCACCUGGGGAGUACGGCCGCAAGGUUGAA
rnacentral:rRNA from 1 species